GCUUAUGUCCACUCACAUACGCAGUAGCCCCUUGUAGAAAGGUCGUGUGAAGAAGGCAUCGAGCAGAUACUGAUGGAUGAGAGCCAGGCCGAGGAUGCGGCCACUGAAGCGAAACCUUGAGAGACGCAGACGGACACUGUAAUAAAGUUUCUCAGUAAAACAGCCACAGCUGUGAGUUUCUCAGACCACUCGUGAUGAUU